rnacentral:rRNA from 1 species
UUGAAAGGGAAACGAUUGAAGUCAGUCGUGCUGGCGCGAAAUCAACCUUCUCGUCUUGAGAUCACAUGGCGUGGCGAGCCUCAAAACCGUCACGAAGCGUGAACUCUUUGUGAAAUGGAGCACUUUCGUGUCCGCUGGUUAACAUCAAUUUCGAACGUCAUAAAAAGGCUGGAGGGAUGUGGCUCCUUCGGGGGUGUUAUAACCUUUAGCGGAAUGUGGUGUUCGGGAUUGAGGAUUGCAACGAAUACCUUUAGGGCUGUUCCACCUGGCUUCUCUUUGGUAUCCUGGUGACGACAGCUUGCUGACGUUGUUAGGAUUCGCCUUGAACAGUCUAGAGUGUGAGCAAACUUCGUUAAGGAUGUUGACGUA